UCAAUCUAUGAUUAUUGAAAGUUUAAAAACUAAAUUGAAAUAUGGUAAAAAGUUUAGUGGGUUAAAGUAUAAAUAUGGAAAGUUAAAAUAUAAAAGUCAAAUUUUACUUUCCAUGUGUCACCUAGCUAUUGGAUGAAGAAAUGACCAAGCAAUUUGAAAAAGGGAUUGUCAUCUUCUCCAUUUCACUUUGCCGUAGCUCACACCAUAGGAAACCAAAGAAUUUCUUUUCUUUCUCCCACCAAAGCCAAGCCAAAACCUCACCAAAUCAACUUCUUUCUUUAACCAAAAUUCAUCCUAAGAUCAAGAUCUAAAGGAAGAGCCAUAUAUUGAAGGGAUUGAAGAAGAAAAGUUUAGGGUUCCAUAUACACCAAGCUUGAAAAUCAAAGGUAAGUUUAGAAAUGAGUAGAAAAUAGCAUCAUCUCAUUUCUUCAUGCAUGGAUUUGAAUUAUAAAGCUUUAAUUUAUAGUUUAUUCAAUCCUUUCCUAAGACAUAAAUUGACCUAGGUGAAGGAACAUCAAAGGGAAAGGAGAUAGCUAGAGAUUAGAAGAGGAAAAGAAAGGAGGAAUUCAAGAAAGGUUGUAGAUAAAAUAGGGCAACAGAAGUUAUCAGAGAUCUACAUCAGAUAUCAAGGCCAUCAUCAUAGCUGGUUGUUUUGAGUCUCGGAGUCAUAGUACAGUUUUAUUUUGGCAUGUACAUAUUAAAUAGAGUGAGUUGUGAAGGUUAUGUAAAUCAAAGAAUAGUAAGAUAUCAAGUGACAGUUGUUAGUAUUAUUAUAAGUGUGAUGUUCAUAUGUAUUACAGGUUAAAGUGCUAAUAAAACAGAGAAAACUCUGCCGAAAAUUUUGGUUUAAAAA